GUCUAUGGUCAUGCUACCCUGAACAAGCCCAAUCCCGUUUGACCUCGGAAGCUAAGCAGGGUCGGGCCUGGUUAGUACUUGGAUGGGAGACCACCUAGGAAGACCAGGUGCUGCAGGUG
rnacentral:rRNA from 1 species